rnacentral:rRNA from 1 species
GACGUAGGGUGCGAGCGUUGUCCGGAUUUAUUGGGCGUAAAGAGCUCGUAGGCGGCUCGUCGCGUCGACCGUGAAAACCCGCGGCUUAACUGCGGGCUUGCGGUUGAUACGGGCGGGCUAGAGUUCGGUAGGGGAGACUGGAAUUCCUGGUGUAGCGGUGAAAUGCGCAGAUAUCAGGAGGAACACCGGUGGCGAAGGCGGGUCUCUGGGCCGAUACUGACGCCGAGACGCGAAAGCGUGGGGAGCGAACAGG